UACGUAGGGUGCAAGCGUUAAUCGGAAUUACUGGGCGUAAAGCGUGCGCAGGCGGUGAUGUAAGACAGGUGUGAAAUCCCCGGGCUUAACCUGGGAACUGCAUUUGUGACUGCAUCGCUGGAGUGCGGCAGAGGGGGAUGGAAUUCCGCGUGUAGCAGUGAAAUGCGUAGAUAUGUGGAGGAACACCGAUGGCGAAGGCAGCCCCCUGGGUCAAGAUUGACGCUCAUGCACGAAAGCGUGGGGAGCAAACAGG
rnacentral:rRNA from 1 species